AGCGAACGCUGGCGGCAGGCCUAACACAUGCAAGUCGAACGGAUCCUUCGGGAUGAGUGUCGGCCGGGGGCGUAACACGGGGUAACGUGCCCUUUGGUUCGGAACAACUCAGGGAAACUUGAGCUAAUAUCGGACGAGUCCCUCGUGGGAAUGAUUUAUCGCCAUUGGCGCGGCCCGCGUUUGAUUAGCUAGUUGGUGAGGUAACGGCCCACCAAGGCGACGAUCAGUAGCUGGUUUGAGAGGAUGAUCAGCCACACUGGGACUGAGACACGGCCCAGACUCGUACGGGAGGCAGCAGUGGGGAAUCUUGCGCAAUGGGCGAAAGCCUGACGCAGCCAGGCCGCGUGAAUGAUGAAGGUCUUAGGAUUGUAAAAUUCUUUCAGCGGGGACGAUAAUGACGGUACCCGCAGAAGAAGCUCCGGCUAACUUCGUG
rnacentral:rRNA from 1 species